GUGUUAGAAAAAGUGACAGUGACAUUUUUGGAGGCAGGAUGAAAAUGCUUGAAAAGUGUCCAAGGGAAGAGAUGAGGAAGAAAUGAUAGCCAGAAAUCAAGCAAAGCUCCAAAUGACUCAAAUCCUCAUAGUAUUGAUCCUUUAUAAUCUUAAACACAUUCCUACAAGUGCUUCUGUCUCCUUCCCGGAACGGCAUUCCUUCACAAACAUCAACAACCCGGGCGGUACAGUGUGUGUGUGUGUGUGUGUGUGUUUUCAUGCCACACCAAGCUGGCGGGCACCGGUGUGUUAUGAAUGUUCAAGUGCCGAUUUUCUUUCUUUCAGCCACGGGGGGGUGAGGUGGGGGUGGACAAUAAGGGAUCUCCUAUUGACUCACUUUCACUGGGCUGAGAGGCCCUCGGACCGACCGCAUUCCAGCGGAAUUGGAGUCAGAUCAGAGCGAGGUGGACUGUGUUGGGGUCGCUCAGAAGAAAGACGGAGAGCAGAUGGCCAGCUUUGUGUUCCCCUCCCCUUUUCAGCCGGCAAUGUGGGAGAGCAUGUCUCCAGCCCUGCUUAUUGAUUCCUGAAUAGGCCACCGCAUGCCACCAGCCUGUAGGUAUGGGGCUCUACUAACAGAUGGCACACCCCAAUGCGCCUCAGGCAUGUACACUGGCAGAGUGACAAGUGUGCAGAACGUUCCUGGCAUUUGAAUAAUGGCUGCAUAACUCCAGAAAACCAUCAGUGAUGGCAAAAUACAGUAUGCUCUCCAGCCCGUGGUAGCUUAUCCUGCUAUCAAAACUAUGAGAGCUCACAUGUGGGUUCAAUGCAAAUGUUGGAUGUGUCCAUGCUGGGUGACCAGAAAAAGGACAGCCGCCAGUAUUUUUGGUUAAGUUACACAAGAUAAUGGCUUUACAUGUUGACAGUCUGGUUCCUUUCUACACUUAUGUGUUUAUUUCUCUGAUGUCAGAUUCUGGCACAAUUGUACCUGCUCCACACCCAAAAAAACCCCGGAAAUAUUAGGUUGCAUGUAGAGGUUUUUCUUACCAUGCUUGCAAUUAUUACAGUAUACUGCAGUGGGCUCUGUAAACACAGGCUAGCAUCUUCUGUCAAUACAUGAAAGAUGAUUUUUGUUGUGACUAACAAAUAAGAAAAAUCAAAUAUUUUAUUAAUUACUUUGAAAUCAUUUCAUAGAAUACUACUUCAAAUAGACACUUUUUUGGUUCUUAGUACCUCAUAUAAAUGCUUUUGUGAAUAAGCUAUUUUGCUAUUUUAUAUUUCCCCAAGGCACAAGCGUCCCACUGAUUACUGACCAUGCUAAAGAAUGAUACUGACCUCAAAAUGCUGUCAUUACACAGAGCAUGUCUGUCGGAAUUGUUUGCAACCUUUCCCCUCACCUGGGGACGUUUGUUUCAGGAGUUCAGACCAACCCUUAAAUGUGCUGAGGCUGGCUGAAGGAGUGACACCUGGUGUCCUACCCCCCUGAGUAAUGUGAAGCACCGAGCUGCAGCAAUGGAGAUGGUGGAGAGAUGCUGAGCAGGAAUCACAGGAAAGGACGUGACCAUGGGUGAUAGGAGCAGCUCCCAAAUGUGGUGCGCCCAGCCAUGCCUGGCUAUCAUGAUCAAUGGCCAUUCCUGGCGCCUAUCUGUGCAUGGAAUUCCAGGGAACAUCUGGACUGCAGCCCUAGAUGUCAGAGGUCAUUGUUACUCAUCUCUACCCUUGAUCAACCAAUCAGGAACCUGCAGGGCGUGGUAACCCCACGAGGGUCUCAAAUGCCCGCCAAACUCUCAACCAAUCAUCAUCCGUCUUGGUUCCGGUUUAAAGGACACUGCAAAGCUCCAGACUUUGCUUCUCUUGCCAUUUUCACACCCUUCGAGACAAUCACGUGACGGCCAGUGUUGUCUGUACAGGGACUGGAACCUUGUUUCAGCAAAGUGUCAGGCUGGGAAAUGCCCGUACGUAUGAAUUCAAAUUGCUAGCCGCCAACGUGGACGCUUCGCUUGAUCACCGAAGUAUACUUUUGGACUUUGGUCGACAAUCUGAAUACGUUUUUAUUCGGCAGUAGCACUACACCGGAAGCAAACAAAGUUUCUUCCCCCUAAAGAGUGACUUGCUCGGACCCACGGUCACCCUCAAGGUAGGGCCUUGGGAGAGACGACUGCACUACGAUUCCUCCCUUCAUCCGACUCCGAGCUGCACUAGGACUGGUUGACCGGCAGCCAGAGGACGCCAGGAUGACGCCUAUUGGACGCCGCAACAGAGCCUGCCAGCUGGUCUUUGGUGUCCAUGCCGGGAAAUACGAAACCAUAUCUGGAUAAGUAAACCAAAUAUUCUACAUUGCCAAUCAAGUUGUUACCUCAACACAAGUUGAUAUCAAUUUAAUUCAUAUGAGUAAUGUAUUUACUUUGAGUAUCUCAUGUAGAAGUUAUAUUAAUGAGACUGAUUAAUGAAAUAGUAUAGCCAAAUGAUGUACUGAAGGAUAUUCUUUGUUUGCAUCUCUUUGUGUUUUGCAUCUCUUCGGGAUUAUAUACCUUGCACUUUGAUAACCUUCACAGUAAGAU